CUUCCCUUGAAGUGAUUUUACUAGAAAACAGCCGUCCCUGUUUAGAAGAUGUUUUCAGAUGGAUUCCUGAAUUGUUUGCUGCAUUAUCUUCCCUGGUGCAGAAGUUAAGCUGACUGACAUCAGCGAUAAAGGGGUGCAGGAUCCAGAAAAGAGAAGCCAGUAGUGAACACUGACCGUGGACAACAGAUGAAACAGACAGACGAACUAUCGCAAGAAGGUGUGGAUACAACAGUACAUUGAGAGCCGAGAAGGAAGGACUGUGCUGGAGUACUAAUUCUGAACAUGGCACUAGGUCUUUCAUGAACCCAAGGAGCUGAUAUAUUUCCAGAAACCCACCCCAUGGUACAUGCUCAGAUGGGAAGGGCUUGAACCACCCAACUAGAAGCAGAACACAGACAGAUGUUUUCCUCAGGUGCUACCCCAGACGAUACUGCCAGGACCGCAAUUCAUUGUGCAGCUUGUGCUGACGGCGGCCUCACCGUACCCUGCACCACUUGCUGUGUCCCCUCCUGGAUUGCAGCAAACCCUGCAACAGGAUGCCCUUCGUGGUGACAAGCACUCCCAUCAACUGCCCAGAGUGUUAACCCUUUUCCUUGUACUUCUUCCCAGGAUGUUGCUAAGAAGAAUGGAGAUAGUAAGUCUAAAUCAGGAUCUGGCAACGGACAUUCGUGCUCAUCUCCUGCGGUAAUCGGAGCAUAGGGAAGGAUUCUCGUAUGGGGGGGAUCUUCUCAGUACGAAUAUCCCGAUUGACCAGACUUAGAGUCCAUCCCGCCAGCCGGGGAGAGGAUACCCUUCCCUCAUUAAUUCUUCCAGAGAUGACAUAUUUUACUGGAGUAUGGCAUGUCCUCACCACAAUGAGAGCUGUGCCACUUAAAUAUUCCCAAUGUGUUAGGGACCAUACCAGGGCGAAUACCUCACGUUCGCAAGCUGAAAA